rnacentral:tRNA from 2 species
GCGGGUGUCGUAUAGUGGUUAUUACACUGCCUUGCCAAGGCAGAGACGGCGGUUCGAUUCCGCUCACCCGCU